rnacentral:rRNA from 1 species
GCUAAACGCGAAGAACCUUACCAAGGCUUGACAUACACCGGAAACAUCCAGAGAUGGGUGCCCCCUUGUGGUCGGUGUACAGGUGGUGCAUGGCUGUCGUCAGCUCGUGUCGUGAGAUGUUGGGUUAAGUCCCGCAACGAGCGCAACCCUUGUCCCGUGUUGCCAGCAGGCCCUUGUGGUGCUGGGGACUCACGGGAGACCGCCGGGGUCAACUCGGAGGAAGGUGGGGACGACGUCAAGUCAUCAUGCCCCUUAUGUCUUGGGCUGCACACGUGCUACAAUGGCCGGUACAAAGAGCUGCGAUGCCGUGAGGCGGAGCGAAUCUCAAAAAGCCGGUCUCAGUUCGGAUUGGGGUCUGCAACUCGACCCCAUGAAGUCGGAGUCGCUAGUAAUCGCAGAUCAGAAUGUUGCGGUGAAUACGUUCCCGGGUCUUGUACACACCG